AAGGGGCGUUUGGGACCAGCGGUCUCCAAAUGGGGGAUCCCGAAAUGGCUGCUGAGGGCAGCGGCUGCCUGUGGUGGCCUCAGCACCAGCCUCAACGCCUCGAGAGGCAACGUGAGCUGUCACUUCCUACCAGCUAUGUCCUUGCUUCCACUGCCACCUACAACGGCUGCUGCAUGUCCACAAUUUGAAUUGAGCUUCCCCGUGCACACAGCAGGACAGGAGCUGCCAUCCUCUGCUUUCCAUACCGCAGUGAACUCUCAGCUGCUGGGCACAAAGCCUGUCCUUUCUGCUUGUGAGAGAGCCUCACUUAGACUGUUGUACUGCAGCCUAACUUCUGGGUACGUGUAGUAAAAGGUCUCAAAACAACAGGUGCUUCAAUACUUCUGGGGCUUGGCUAAAGGAAUGUGACAACAACUCAUAGAAUGAUGACCUCUCUGUGCUCUCGUUGCUUUAUAGAACAAUGAAGUAAAACUGAGCAAUUGAGUUAGAGUUGUUGUUGAGCCUGAGGAGGGGUGGAGGAGAGAUGAAGUGAUUUACCGUUUGUUCUUGCUGCAUUGUUAACAUGUACACUCAGGAGGAAUAGAACUGAAAUGUCUGUGAAGAAACAACUCUCAACUCAGUCGCAAACUGUUCCUCUGUGUAGGUAUCCCAAGCCCCAUGUGGUUUCAUUACAAGGGAAGGAAAAUGUUAUCUGGGUGGUAUAAAGUCUUGUUGUGACAUGAGUUACCUGCUGUUAAACAAGAUUUUCAGAAAUUACAUACGAUGCUUAGACCUAAUAUAUAACUGUGUUUAAUAUCCCUGAUACUAUUAAACACACACCCCCACACUCCCACCCCCAAACUUAGAGGUUUAAUUGAUAAAUAUUCAGUUAUUUCCUUCCAGUUCUUUCCAGUGUUUUUCAUUAUCUGUAGCUAACUUCUAAGGCAGUUUUAGUCCUUGAAUAAUGGUUAAAAUGUACAGUUAUAAUCCUAUGAUAUAGGGGGUGUGUGAAUGUAUUUAGAGAAGAUGACAUCCUUCUUGCAAGACCUUUCUCAGCUUUGAUUAGAUCAGAUAUAACAGAACAGUAACAUUUUUUUCUGGACUAUGCUAUCCAAGUAGCUAUGCUGCCUAUAUCAGAAAUAGCUCUUUUCCCUCUGUACUACACAGUUAGCAUUCCUGCUUUCGUUUGCACUUCAGGUUGCACAGUUCAAGUUACAAAACCAUACUGUAUGUGGCAUCGUUCAAACUCGGCACAAGUACUCUGGCAUUGACACAUCAGAGUGUUUGAUCUUUGCAGCCGCCUGAUGGCAAUGACUUUCUCAGACAAAUGAAAAUGUAUGUUAGUUUUCCUUUACAUAUACUUGGGAUAAUUGGGGCAUUUGGCAGCAGCUGAUAAUGAUUAGUGGCCUUACAAUUUACAUACAGUGUAGCAGUAACUGCAUGUUUUUCUCAAGAAUUGAAUAAACAGAGCUGUUUCGUAAA